rnacentral:rRNA from 1 species
GACGAACGCUGGCGGCGUGCUUAACACAUGCAAGUCGAACGGAAAGGCCCUGCUUUUGUGGGGUGCUCGAGUGGCGAACGGGUGAGUAACACGUGAGUAACCUGCCCUUGACUUUGGGAUAACUUCAGGAAACUGGGGCUAAUACCGGAUAGGAGCUCCUGCUGCAUGGUGGGGGUUGGAAAGUUUCGGCGGUUGGGGAUGGACUCGCGGCUUAUCAGCUUGUUGGUGGGGUAGUGGCUUACCAAGGCUUUGAUGGGUAGCCGGCCUGAGAGGGUGACCGGCCACAUUGGGACUGAGAUACGGCCCAGACGCCUACGGGAGGCAGCAGUGGGGAAUAUUGCACAAUGGGCGGAAGCCUGAUGCAGCAACGCCGCGUGCGGGAGGACGGCCUUCGGGUUGUAAACCGCUUUCGCCUGUGACGAAGCGUGAGUGACGGUAAUGGGUAAAGAAGCACCGGCUAACUACGU